rnacentral:rRNA from 1 species
GACGAACGCUGGCGGCGUGCCUAACACAUGCAAGUCGAACGGAAAGGCCCUGCUUUUGUGGGGUGCUCGAGUGGCGAACGGGUGAGUAACACGUGAGUAACCUGCCCUUGACUUUGGGAUAACUUCAGGAAACUGGGGCUAAUACCGGAUAGGAGCUCCUGCUGCAUGGUGGGGGUUGGAAAGUUUCGGCGGUUGGGGAUGGACUCGCGGCUUAUCAGCUUGUUGGUGGGGUAGUGGCUUACCAAGGCUUUGACGGGUAGCCGGCCUGAGAGGGUGACCGGCCACAUUGGGACUGAGAUACGGCCCAGACUCCUACGGGAGGCAGCAGUGGAGAGUAUUACACAAUGGGCGGGAGCCAGAUGUAACAACGCCGCGUGCGGGAUGACGGCCUUCGGGUUGUAAACCGAUUUCGCCUGUGACGAAGCGUGAGUGACGGUAAUGGGUAAAGAAGCACCGGCUAACUACGUG